rnacentral:sRNA from 2 species
UCCGUAGGUGAACCUGCGGAAGGAUCAUUACCACACCGAUCUACGAUCAUUGUUUUGGAGAAAGAUGUUAGUGUCAGAUCUUGAACUGCGGUUCGGUCAAUGGAUCGUGUUGGGUCUGUCCUAGCGGGGUUUGUUUUGCUCGUCGAAAGAAUCCCAAGGUUGCGAAAUUGUUGAAUUGUUGAUGGUGGGACUUAGACUACUGUAGGCUGUAGUUGGUUUCAUUGGAGGUUCAUGCAGUUUUGGUUUUGUCUCUGUGGGGACAAAAGCAUGUAAGAAAAAUCCACACACGUAGUUUUUGGAAUGAUACUAACCUGCCUGGAAAGAGUCGGAUGCAUCCUACCUAUUGUAGGAUGUGUGUGACGGAAUAGCACUGAAUUGCACCAAAGUAGGAAAGUGGACUGCCCAGUGUAGUUGUGGACUGCUUUGGAAGGUAACAAAUGAUAAAACUAUAGUACAACUUUCAGCAAUGGAUGUCUAGGUUCCCACAACGAUGAAGAACGCAGCGAAAUGCGAUACGUAAUGCGAAUUGCAAGACCUCGAGAAUCAUCAAGAUUUUGAACGCACAUUGCGCUGCUUGGAAUUUCCUGGUAGCAUGUUUGUCUGAGUGUCCGUGAACCCCAAUCAGCGCAGUAGGAUUAUAUUCUGAUAACAAAUGAUGUAAUUGUAUUGUAGCUUGGAGGAAGUAUGCCAGUGCCCACUACGUUGAUAAUGUGGUUGGCUCUUGUGUGAAGAAAACCCCAAUCCAAAUUCAAAGCCCAAGAACUAAUGGAUUAGGCUUGUGGAUGGAAACAACACCAUUUCUGUUUGGAGUCUCUCGUAGAUUGGUGGGAGGGGGUAAUGUUCGUACGCUUGUAUUUGUUGCUUGUGUAUGAGUGUGCUUGUUUCCAGCAUGAAUGUAGAGAUAUGUACCAUUUGGUAGCCAGAAGAGAAUGGUUGUGUUGUAUCCGGGCUUGACGAUGGAGAAAAAAACCGAACAAGGCUUUGUACACUUUUUUGCAAAGUGUUGUCCUUUUUCUGUUGUUGGAAGAAUGUUUGUGUCCGGAUCUCAGCUUAAACAAGAGGACCCGCUGAAUUUAAGCAUAUCAAUAAGCGGAGGA